rnacentral:rRNA from 1 species
CGAGUAAAGUGGCCCACGGGUGAGUAACACCUGGGUAAUCUACCUCGGUCUGGGGAAUAACGUACCAAAUGGUGCGCUUCUACCGCAUAAUCCUGUGGGUCUUAGGGCCUGCUGGGAAAGGUGGCCUCUACUUGUCACCUACUGACCUGAGAUGAGCCCGCGACCUAUUACCUACUUGGUGAGGUAAAGGCUCACCAAGGCGACGAUGGGUAGCUGGUCUGAGAGGACGGCCAGCCACACUGGAACUGGUACACGGUCCAGACUCCUACGGGAGGCAGCAGUGAGGAAUAUUGCGCAAUGGGGGAAACCCUGACGCAGCGAUGCCGCAUGAGUGAAGAAGGCCUUCGGGUCGUAAAGCUCUGUCAAACGGGAAGAACAGCUCCGGGGUUAAUACCCUCGGGGUGUGACGGUACCGUUGAAGGAAGCACCGGCUAACUCCGUGCCAGCAGCCGCGGUAAGACGGAGGGUGCGAGCGUUAUUCGGAUUUAUUGGGCGUAAAGGGCGUGCAGGCGGCCGGCCAAGUCUGAUGUGAAAGCCCGAGGCUUAACCUUGGAAGGGCGUUGGAAACUGGUUGGCUUGAGUUCGGGAGAGGAAAGCGGAAUUCCGGGUGUAGAGGUGAAAUUCGUAGAUAUCCGGAGGAACACCGGUGGCGAAGGCGGCUUUCUGGACCGAAACUGACGCUGAGACGCGAAAGCGUGGGGAGCAAACAGGAUUAGAUACCCUGGUAGUCCACGCUGUAAACGAUGGGCGCUAGGUGUGGGGGGUUUAUAAUCCCUCCGUGCCGCAGCUAACGCAUUAAGCGCCCCGCCUGGGG